AUUGAACGCUAGCGGCAGGCCUAACACAUGCAAGUCGAGCGAGCGGCGGACGGGUGAGUAAUGUAUGGGGACUGCCCGAUAGAGGGGGAUAACCACUGGAAACGGUGGCUAAUACCGCAUACUAUAGGAUAACCCAUAUGGGAUUAGCGAGUAGGUGGGGUAACGGCGCACCUAGGCGACACUCGGUAGCUGGUCUGAGAGGAUGAUCAGCCACACGGGGACUGAGAAACGGCCCAGACUCAUACGGAGGCAGCAGGGGGGAAUAUUGCACAAUGGGCGCAAGCCUGAUGCAGCCAUGCCGCGUGUAUGAAGAAGGCCUUCGGGUUGUAAAGUACUUUCAGCGGGGAGGCGUUACCCGCAGAAGAAGCACCGGCUAACUCCGUGCCAGCCGCCGCGGUAAUAC
rnacentral:rRNA from 1 species